CUCAGACUAGUGGACCUUUAGGCUUUUGAGCUGCUCCUUUAUCUCUGCACACCUCUGCCCACCAGCCCGGUGUGUGUGUGUUUGUGUGUGUGUGUGUGUGUGUGUGUGUAUGUGUGUAUGUGUGUGUGUGUCUGUGUGUGUGUGUGUUUGGAUCCUCGGGGAGAACUCAGCCCAACCAGCCAGCUAGAGAGCAGCUGCCACCCUCACUAGGUCCCCUCAAGGGGCUCUAG
rnacentral:lncRNA from 10 species